rnacentral:rRNA from 1 species
CAGGGAGAACGGAAGGCUUCGGCCUUCUUAGUAAUACCGGCGCGACGGCGUGCAGUCAACACGUAGGUAACCUACCCCCGAGCUCGGGAUAACCUGUCGAAAGAUAGGCUAAUACCUGGAUGAGACCACGUUGGUUUCGGCCAAUGCGGUCAAAGAUGGCCUCUAUUUAUAAGCUAUCACUCGAGGAUGGGCCUGCGCACCAUUAGCUAGUUGGUGAGGUAACGGCUCACCAAGGCUACCCAUGGUUAGUUGGUCUGAGAGGAUGACCAGCCACACUGGGACUGAGGACACGGCCCA